AGAGUUUGAUCCUGGCUCAGGAUGAACGCUAGCUACAGGCUUAACACAUGCAAGUCGAGGGGCAGCAUGGUCUUAGCUUGCUAAGGCCGAUGGCGACCGGCGCACGGGUGAGUAACACGUAUCCAACCUGCCGUCUACUCUUGGACAGCCUUCUGAAAGGAAGAUUAAUACAAGAUGGCAUCAUGAGUCCGCAUGUUCACAUGAUUAAAGGUAUUCCGGUAGACGAUGGGGAUGCGUUCCAUUAGAUAGUAGGCGGGGUAACGGCCCACCUAGUCUUCGAUGGAUAGGGGUUCUGAGAGGAAGGUCCCCCACAUUGGAACUGAGACACGGUCCAAACUCCUACGGGAGGCAGCAGUGAGGAAUAUUGGUCAAUGGGCGAGAGCCUGAACCAGCCAAGUAGCGUGAAGGAUGACUGCCCUAUGGGUUGUAAACUUCUUUUAUAAAGGAAUAAAGUCGGGUAUGGAUACCCGUUUGCAUGUACUUUAUGAAUAAGGAUCGGCUAACUCCGUGCCAGCAGCCGCGGUAAUACGGAGGAUCCGAGCGUUAUCCGGAUUUAUUGGGUUUAAAGGGAGCGUAGAUGGAUGUUUAAGUCAGUUGUGAAAGUUUGCGGCUCAACCGUAAAAUUGCAGUUGAUACUGGAUAUCUUGAGUGCAGUUGAGGCAGGCGGAAUUCGUGGUGUAGCGGUGAAAUGCUUAGAUAUCACGAAGAACUCCGAUUGCGAAGGCAGCCUGCUAAGCUGCAACUGACAUUGAGGCUCGAAAGUGUGGGUAUCAAACAGGAUUAGAUACCCUGGUAGUCCACACGGUAAACGAUGAAUACUCGCUGUUUGCGAUAUACAGCAAGCGGCCAAGCGAAAGCGUUAAGUAUUCCACCUGGGGAGUACGCCGGCAACGGUGAAACUCAAAGGAAUUGACGGGGGCCCGCACAAGCGGAGGAACAUGUG
rnacentral:rRNA from 1 species